rnacentral:rRNA from 1 species
UUACGGGAGGCAGCAGUGGGGAAUUUUGGACAAUGGGCGAAAGCCUGAUCCAGCAAUGCCGCGUGAGUGAAGAAGGCCUUCGGGUUGUAAAGCUCUUUUGUCAGGGAAGAAACGGUCUGGGCUAAUAUCCUGGGCUAAUGACGGUACCUGAAGAAUAAGCACCGGCUAACUACGUGCCAGCAGCCGCGGUAAUACGUAGGGUGCAAGCGUUAAUCGGAAUUACUGGGCGUAAAGCGUGCGCAGGCGGUUUUGUAAGUCUGACGUGAAAUCCCCGGGCUCAACCUGGGAAUUGCGUUGGAGACUGCAAGGCUAGAAUCUGGCAGAGGGGGGUAGAAUUCCACGUGUAGCAGUGAAAUGCGUAGAGAUGUGGAGGAACACCGAUGGCGAAGGCAGCCCCCUGGGUCAAGAUUGACGCUCAUGCACGAAAGCGUGGGGAGCAAACAGGAUUAGAUACCCUGGUAGG